rnacentral:lncRNA from 1 species
UAUUUAUUUAUCCAAGAGUACAGAAGAUGAGCCCAAAUUGACAAGAUCGUUCAAAGGCUUAUUUACACUAUCCUCUCCUUGGAGUCAUACAUCAUCUCCUUGGAGUCCAGCACCUUCUCCUUGGGGUCCAGUCGGCAAGGGAGGAGCUCCUUUGGACAAUGGGUUAUCAUCCUUCCCGUAGCGCACCUCCUCGCCAUCAGAAUCGACCUCAGGAGCUCGAAGGUGAGCCAAAGGGGCGGAGGGGGCAUCCCUAGCUGCCUUCAGGCCUUGAUUGAACCCGAAAGUGAACAUUCGGAAGGCUGAGUUAUAUAAUUUUUCUUUCAUU